UUCAAGCACCGUAUCUAACGA
rnacentral:piRNA from 1 species